ACAGUGCUCCGGCUGGCCCUGACCCCUCGGGUAAUCAGACAAUAUACUACAGCCGACUAAGUCACAAGUCUCGUGAGGAGUAGAAAAAUCGCGGGAAAGUGGGUCUUCGCUCCUCCGUCGAACAUGGAAGUUCCAAAAUAUCCUUAUCUUUGUCGGACUCGCAACACUUCUGUCACUCGCACGGCCUGUAGCUUGACCUCGAGCUUGUAGUCUGUGUUUAGUUCGAAUCGGUACAGCACAAACACCAUUAUAAUGACACUGCUUGUAUCUUCUCAUUUUUGGCAUUUUACCAGCAACAUGCAGAACACAUUAGAAGAAACAACACACAAUAGCGACUUUGCUAUUAAUUAGCGGGCUUCAGUUGUCCAAGCAUACAGUUUUUAUUUGAAAGCUUUGAAGGAUAUUUCGGCGUAUGAAAAAUAGGCAAAAAUGCUGAGAGGGAAAGUAGUCGGGUAAAAGAUCACGAAAUUCGCACAGCACCGGAUAGUUCGUUCUCUUCGUCUUACGCACAUUUCGACAUCCAACGUAUUUACUGAUAAUUAAAGUGCAUAAUCAUUUAUAAAUUAAUUUUUUAGGCUACGCCAUGUUUAAUUAUAAUAAUAAUUAUUAUUAUUACAUUAAUGGCAACAGUAAGAUGCUGAUAUUAUAUGGAUUAUAAAAGGUGUUGUCUUGUAGCGCCCCCUCGCUAUGUCGGAAAAUGUCACUGUAUCCUCGGCCUGUGUUCCCGUUUGGUAUGUCUACCGCCGUUGCACGUGUGUUUUUACGCUUCGUUUUUUUGCUAUAAUUUAAUGAUUUUACACGUCCUGCGCGUGUUACUUGUGUCAUUUGGAAGGAAGGAACCGCUGGCUAUAAUGGAACUGCUAUGGUGAGGAAAAAGUUACGGAACGAAGUCAUGCGAGAUACGCUAAACAGGGUGCACGAGGCGACACGGAGGAAGCGUUAAAAGUAACGAAAGCCACAAAAAGCCCGCUGAGCAGCUUUGGAAAAGACGAAAGACUGCAUUGGUAUGUUGUGGAAGCCACGAAAAUUACGAAGAGCCUCGAGUCGUCCAAGGGGGUGGCAACAGCCGAGGAUUAAAAGACUGCGUGUAGCAAGUUCGACAACACCGUUAUUCAGCUGAAGAACAGUUUGUCCUCGAUGGUGUAAAGAGAGCUCAAAUAAAUGUUCUGUGGUGGUAUA